GAUGAACGCUGGCGGCGUGCCUAAUACAUGCAAGUCGAGCGAACGGACGAGAAGCUUGCUUCUCUGAUGUUAGCGGCGGACGGGUGAGUAACACGUGGAUAACCUACCUAUAAGACUGGGAUAACUUCGGGAAACCGGAGCUAAUACCGGAUGAUAUUUUGAACCGCAUGGUUCAAAAGUGAAAGACGGUCUUGCUGUCACUUAUAGAUGGAUCCGCGCUGCAUUAGCUAGUUGGUAAGGUAACGGCUUACCAAGGCAACGAUGCAUAGCCGACCUGAGAGGGUGAUCGCCCACACUGGAACUGAGACACGGUCCAGACUCCUACGGGAGGCAGCAGUAGGGAAUCUUCCGCAAUGGGCGAAAGCCUGACGGAGCAACGCCGCGUGAGUGAUGAAGGUCUUCGGAUCGUAAAACCCUGUUAUUAGGGAAGAACAUAUGUGUAAGUAACUGUGCACAUCUUGACGGUACCUAAUCAGAAAGCCACGGCUAACUACGUG
rnacentral:rRNA from 1 species